rnacentral:tRNA from 2 species
AGGGCUGUAGCUCAGUUAGGUAGAGCACCUCGUUUGUUCGAGUCCGUAUAGCCCUA